GGGCAAUUAGUCGAGUGGUUAGGCGGCUGUCUGCAAAACAGUUCUACGCUGGUUCGAUUCCAGCAUUGCCCU
rnacentral:tRNA from 1 species